rnacentral:rRNA from 1 species
GGUUAAGCGACUAAGCGUACACGGUGGAUGCCCUGGCAGUCAGAGGCGAUGAAGGGCGUGCUAAUCUGCGAUAAGCGCCGGUAAGGUGAUAUGAACCGUUAUAACCGGCGAUACCCGAAUGGGGAAACCCAGUGUGAUUCGUCACACUAUCAUUAACUGAAUCCAUAGGUUAAUGAGGCGAACCGGGGGAACUGAAACAUCUAAGUACCCCGAGGAAAAGAAAUCAACCGAGAUUCCCCCAGUAGCGGCGAGCGAACGGGGAGGAGCCCAGAGCCUGAAUCAGCAUGUGUGUUAGUGGAAGCGUCUGGAAAGGCGCGCGAUACAGGGUGACAGCCCCGUACACAAAAGCGCAUGUGCUGUGAGCUCGAUGAGUAGGGCGGGACACGUGGUAUCCUGUCUGAAUAUGGGGGGACCAUCCUCCAAGGCUAAAUACUCCUGACUGACCGAUAGUGAACCAGUACCGUGAGGGAAAGGCGAAAAGAACCCCGGCGAGGGGAGUGAAAAAGAACCUGAAACCGUGUACGUACAAGCAGUGGGAGCCCCACCACCAAAGCAUUCUCUGGUGUUGAAGGCCCUGCAAAGCAGCAUCGCGGUGGCGGAGCGUCGUUUGCGACGCCCAACACACAAAACAAGCGGUGAGUGCUUUGGGGUGGGGUGACUGCGUACCUUUUGUAUAAUGGGUCAGCGACUUAUAUUCUGUAGCAAGGUUAACCGUAUAGGGGAGCCGGAGGGAAACCGAGUCUUAAUUGGGCGUUAAGUUGCAGGGUAUAGACCCGAAACCCGGUGAUCUAGCCAUGGGCAGGUUGAAGGUUGGGUAACACUAACUGGAGGACCGAACCGACUAAUGUUGAAAAAUUAGCGGAUGACCUGUGGCUGGGGGUGAAAGGCCAAUCAAACCGGGAGAUAGCUGGUUCUCCCCGAAAGCUAUUUAGGUAGCGCCUCGUGAAUUCAUCUCCGGGGGUAGAGCACUGUUUCGGCUAGGGGGUCAUCCCGACUUACCAACCCGAUGCAAACUGCGAAUACCGGAGAAUGUUAUCACGGGAGACACACGGCGGGUGCUAACGUCCGUCGUGAAGAGGGAAACAACCCAGACCGCCAGCUAAGGUCCCAAAGUCAUGGUUAAGUGGGAAACGAUGUGGGAAGGCCCAGACAGCCAGGAUGUUGGCUUAGAAGCAGCCAUCAUUUAAAGAAAGCGUAAUAGCUCACUGGUCGAGUCGGCCUGCGCGGAAGAUGUAACGGGGCUAAACCAUGCACCGAAGCUGCGGCAGCGACACUCAGGUGUUGUUGGGUAGGGGAGCGUUCUGUAAGCCUGCGAAGGUGGCCUGUGAGGGUUGCUGGAGGUAUCAGAAGUGCGAAUGCUGACAUAAGUAACGAUAAAGCGGGUGAAAAGCCCGCUCGCCGGAAGACCAAGGGUUCCUGUCCAACGUUAAUCGGGGCAGGGUGAGUCGACCCCUAAGGCGAGGCCGAAAGGCGUAGUCGAUGGGAAACGGGUUAAUAUUCCCGUACUUGGUGUUACUGCGAAGGGGGGACGGAGAAGGCUAUGUUGGCCGGGCGACGGUUGUCCCGGUUUAAGCGUGUAGGCUGGUUUUCCAGGCAAAUCCGGAAAAUCAAGGCUGAGGCGUGACGACGAGGCACUACGGUGCUGAAGCAACAAAUGCCCUGCUUCCAGGAAAAGCCUCUAAGCAUCAGGUAACAUCAAAUCGUACCCCAAACCGACACAGGUGGUCAGGUAGAGAAUACCAAGGCGCUUGAGAGAACUCGGGUGAAGGAACUAGGCAAAAUGGUGCCGUAACUUCGGGAGAAGGCACGCUGACACGUAGGUGAAGUGAUUUACUCAUGGAGCUGAAGUCAGUCGAAGAUACCAGCUGGCUGCAACUGUUUAUUAAAAACACAGCACUGUGCAAACACGAAAGUGGACGUAUACGGUGUGACGCCUGCCCGGUGCCGGAAGGUUAAUUGAUGGGGUCAGCGCAAGCGAAGCUCCUGAUCGAAGCCCCGGUAAACGGCGGCCGUAACUAUAACGGUCCUAAGGUAGCGAAAUUCCUUGUCGGGUAAGUUCCGACCUGCACGAAUGGCGUAAUGAUGGCCAGGCUGUCUCCACCCGAGACUCAGUGAAAUUGAACUCGCUGUGAAGAUGCAGUGUACCCGCGGCAAGACGGAAAGACCCCGUGAACCUUUACUAUAGCUUGACACUGAACAUUGAGCCUUGAUGUGUAGGAUAGGUGGGAGGCUUUGAAGUGUGGACGCCAGUCUGCAUGGAGCCGACCUUGAAAUACCACCCUUUAAUGUUUGAUGUUCUAACGUGGACCCGUGAUCCGGGUUGCGGACAGUGUCUGGUGGGUAGUUUGACUGGGGCGGUCUCCUCCUAAAGAGUAACGGAGGAGCACGAAGGUUGGCUAAUCCUGGUCGGACAUCAGGAGGUUAGUGCAAUGGCAUAAGCCAGCUUGACUGCGAGCGUGACGGCGCGAGCAGGUGCGAAAGCAGGUCAUAGUGAUCCGGUGGUUCUGAAUGGAAGGGCCAUCGCUCAACGGAUAAAAGGUACUCCGGGGAUAACAGGCUGAUACCGCCCAAGAGUUCAUAUCGACGGCGGUGUUUGGCACCUCGAUGUCGGCUCAUCACAUCCUGGGGCUGAAGUAGGUCCCAAGGGUAUGGCUGUUCGCCAUUUAAAGUGGUACGCGAGCUGGGUUUAGAACGUCGUGAGACAGUUCGGUCCCUAUCUGCCGUGGGCGCUGGAGAACUGAGGGGGGCUGCUCCUAGUACGAGAGGACCGGAGUGGACGCAUCACUGGUGUUCGGGUUGUCAUGCCAAUGGCACUGCCCGGUAGCUAAAUGCGGAAGAGAUAAGUGCUGAAAGCAUCUAAGCACGAAACUUGCCCCGAGAUGAGUUCUCCCUGAGACUUAGAGUCUCCUGAAGGAACGUUGAAGACGACGACGUUGAUAGGCCGGGUGUGUAAGCGCAGCGAUGCGUUGAGCUAACCGGUACUAAUGAACCGUGAGGCUUAACCUU